rnacentral:rRNA from 1 species
UACAGAGGUCUCAAGCGUUGUUCGGAUUCAUUGGGCGUAAAGGGUGCGUAGGCGGUUUGGUAAGUCUUUUGUGAAAUCUCUGGGCUCAACUCAGAGUCUGCAGGAGAAACUGCCGGGCUGGAGUGUGGGAGAGGUGAGUGGAAUUUCCGGUGUAGCGGUGAAAUGCGUAGAUAUCGGAAGGAACACCUGUGGCGAAAGCGGCUCACUGGACCACAACUGACGCUGAUGCACGAAAGCUAGGGGAGCAAACAGG